AGCAGCAGCCGCGGGAACACGUAGGUGGCAAGCGUUGUCCGGAAUUAUUGAGCGUAAAGGGCUCGCAGGCGGUUUCUUAAGUCUGAUGUGAAAGCCCCCGGCUCAACCGGGGAGGGUCAUUGGAAACUGGGAAACUUGAGUGCAGAAGAGGAGAGUGGAAUUCCACGUGUAGCGGUGAAAUGCGUAGAGAUGUGGAGGAACACCAGUGGCGAAGGCGACUCUCUGGUCUGUAACUGACGCUGAGGAGCGAAAGCGUGGGGAGCGAACAGGAUUAGAUACCCCUGUAGUCCCUGUCUCUUAUAC
rnacentral:rRNA from 1 species